rnacentral:rRNA from 1 species
AGUCGAGCGGAAGGCCCUUCGGGGUACUCGAGCGGCGAACGGGUGAGUAACACGUGAGCAACCUGCCCUAGGCUUUGGGAUAACCCUCGGAAACGGGGGCUAAUACCGAAUAUGACCUCCGAUCGCAUGGUUGGUGGUGGAAAGUUUUUCGGCCUGGGAUGGGCUCGCGGCCUAUCAGCUUGUUGGUGGGGUGAUGGCCUACCAAGGCGACGACGGGUAGCCGGCCUGAGAGGGCGACCGGCCACACUGGGACUGAGACACGGCCCAGACUCCUACGGGAGGCAGCAGUGGGGAAUAUUGCACAAUGGGCGGAAGCCUGAUGCAGCGACGCCGCGUGAGGGAUGACGGCCUUCGGGUUGUAAACCUCUUUCAGCAGGGACGAAGCGUAAGUGACGGUACCUGCAGAAGAAGCGCCGGCCAACUACGUGCCAGCAGCCGCGGUAAGACGUAGGGCGCGAGCGUUGUCCGGAUUUAUUGGGCGUAAAGAGCUCGUAGGCGGGGGUGUGGGGGUGGACCGUGAAAAACUUGGGGCUCAACCCCAAGCCUGCGGUCGAUACGGGCAGGCUAGAGUUCGGUAGGGAGACUGGAAUUCCUGGGUGUAGCGGUGAAAUGCGCAGAUAUCAGGAGGAACACCGGUGGGCGAAGGCG